rnacentral:rRNA from 1 species
UACGGAGGGUGCGAGCGUUGUCCGGAAUCAUUGGGCGUAAAGGGCGCGUAGGUGGCUUCUUAAGCGUGCGGUGAAAGCCUGAGGCUCAACCCCGGGUCGGCCGUGCGAACUGGGGGGCUGGAGCACUGUAGAGGCAGGCGGAAUUCCGGGUGUAGCGGUGGAAUGCGUAGAGAUCCGGAAGAACACCAAUGGCGAAAGCAGCUUUCUGGGACGGUACUGACGCUGAGACGCGAAAGCGUGGGGAGCGAACAGG